rnacentral:rRNA from 1 species
UUGGAGGGCAAGUCUGGUGCCAGCAGCCGCGGUAAUUCCAGCUCCAAUAGCGUAUAUUAAAGUUGUUGCAGUUAAAAAGCUCGUAGUUGAACUUCAGACCUGACCGGGUGGUCCGCCUAACGGUGUGUACUGUCUGGCCGGGCCUUACCUCUUGGUGAGCCGGCAUGCCCUUAAUUGGGUGUGUCGGGGAACCAGGACCUUUACCUUGAGAAAAUUAGAGUGUUCAAAGCAGGCUUACGCCGGAAUACAUUAGCAUGGAAUAAUAAAAUAGGACGUGCGGUU